rnacentral:rRNA from 1 species
AUGAGCCCAAGUGGGAUUAGGUAGUUGGUGGGGUAAAGGCCUACCAAGCCUGCGAUCUCUAGCUGGUCUGAGAGGAUGACCAGCCACACUGGAACUGAGACACGGUCCAGACUCCUACGGGAGGCAGCAGUGGGGAAUAUUGCGCAAUGGGGGGAACCCUGACGCAGCCAUGCCGCGUGAAUGAAGAAGGCCUUCGGGUUGUAAAGUUCUUUCGGUAAUGAGGAAGGGAUGUUAUUUAAUAGAUGGCAUCAUUGACGUUUAAUUACAGAAGAAGCACCGGCUAACUCCGUGCCAGCAGCCGCGGUAAUACGGAGGGUGCGAGCGUUAAUCGGAAUAACUGGGCGUAAAGGGCACGCAGGCGGACUUUUAAGUGAGAUGUGAAAUCCCCGAGCUUAACUUGGGAAUUGCAUUUCAGACUGGGAGUCUAGAGUACUUUAGGGAGGGGUAGAAUUCCACGUGUAGCGGUGAAAUGCGUAGAGAUGUGGAGGAAUACCGAAGGCGAAGGCAGCCCCUUGGGAAUGUACUGACGCUCAUGUGCGAAAGCGUGGGGAGCAAACAGGAUUAGAUACCCUGGUAGUCCACGCUGUAAACGCUGUCGAUUUGGGGAUUGGGCUAUAUGCUUGGUGCCCGAAGCUAACGUGAUAAAUCGACCGCCUGGGGAGUACGGCCGCAAGGUUAAAACUCAAAUGAAUUGACGGGGGCCCGCACAAGCGGUGG